UUGAAAGGGAAACGAUUGAAGUCAGUCAUGCCGGUGGGAAUCAACUUAGGGGAAACUCUAAGUGCACUUCUUCGCUUGGCAGGUCAACGUCGAUUUUGGAUGUCAUAAAAUGAUUGGGGGAAGGUAGCUCCUUAGGGAGUGUUAUAGCCCUUGGUAGAUGCUGAAUGAUGUCUGGGAUCGAGGAUUGCAAGGGUUUGGAUACCCUUUGGGGCUAGCUGCCUGAUCUCUAAUUGGUAUUGGGUUACGGAUAGCAUGCUGACCGUGAUCUAAUUAUUGGUUAAAAGGUUAGAGCGUGCAUAAAUUCGUUAAGGAUGUUGACGUA
rnacentral:rRNA from 1 species